rnacentral:rRNA from 1 species
GACGAACCGUGCGAACGUUGUUCGGAAUCACUGGGCUUAAAGGGCGCGUAGGCGGGCCGCCGAGUCCGGGGUGAAAUCCCUCAGCUUAACUGGGGAACGGCCUCGGGUACUGGCGGCCUGGAGGGGGGUAGGGGCGUGCGGAACUCUGGGUGGAGCGGUGAAAUGCGUUGAUAUCCAGAGGAACUCCGGUGGCGAAGGCGGCACGCUGGACCCUUACUGACGCUGAGGCGCGAAAGCCAGGGGAGCGAACGGG